CCCAGACUCCUACGGGAGGCAGCAGUGGGGAAUAUUGCACAAUGGGGGAAACCCUGAUGCAGCGACGCCGCGUGAGCGAAGAAGUAUUUCGGUAUGUAAAGCUCCAUCAGCAGGGAAGAAAAAAAUGACGGUACCUGAGUAAGAAGCACCGGCUAAAUACGUGCCAGCAGCCGCGGUAAUACGUAUGGUGCAAGCGUUAUCCGGAUUUACUGGGUGUAAAGGGAGCGUAGGCGGCGCGUUAAGUCUGAUGUGAAAACCCGAGGCUCAACCACGGGAGUGCAUUGGAAACUGGCGGGCUGGAGUGCCGGAGAGGUAAGCGGAAUUCCUAGUGUAGCGGUGAAAUGCGUAGAUAUUAGGAGGAACACCAGUGGCGAAGGCGGCUUACUGGACGGCAACUGACGCUGAGGCUCGAAAGCGUGGGGAUCGAACAGGAUUAGAUACCCGAGUAC
rnacentral:rRNA from 1 species